GCAGCGCCGGGCGGGGGCGAGGGCGGAGCGCGGCCCCGCCAUGUCCAGGCACGUGUUUCUCACAGGACCCCCAGGGGUUGGAAAGACUACUUUGAUCCAGAAAGUCACUCAAGCUCUAAAAUCCUCAGGCAUUCCCAUUGAUGGAUUUUACACAGAGGAAGUUAGAGAAGGUGGCAGGAGAACAGGAUUUGAUGUUGUCACUUUGUCUGGAAACCGAGGACCUUUAUCUAGAGUCAGUUCUAAUUCUACUUCAAGAUGUGAAUACCGGGUUGGACAAUAUGUUGUAGACCUUGUUUCCUUUGAGCGGUUGGUUCUACCUUUGCUAAGAAAUGUAAGCCAUGGCGGUGAUACAGAGAGAAGAAUUUGUGUCAUUGAUGAGAUUGGUAAAAUGGAACUCUUCAGCCAGGCUUUUAUUCAAGCUGUUCGUCAAACGUUGGCUGGCUCAGGGACUGUGGUGCUUGGAACUAUUCCAAUACCUAAGGGAAAGCCACUGGAUCUUGUUGAAGAAAUAAGAAGUAGGAAAGAUGUUAAAGUGUUCAAUGUUAGUAAGGAAAACAGAAACAGCAUUUUGCAAGACAUCUUGGCAGCUGUGGAAUCCUGCAGAAAAUGAAGACCUUUUCUUUCCUGUAAACACUAAAGCUUUUAUUUCAACAAAACAUUUUGCGGAUGUUUUGGAGUCUGUCUUUCCUGCUUUAGGCCCUGGAGGCUUUACUAGAGCCUUCAGGGUAGCAAGGAUUUACAAGAACCUGAGAUGAAGUGGCACUGUGUGUUUUUUAGGAUAUCUUCCAACCCUACCCAUGCGAAGGCCAUUAGCUGAAGAGCAUCUGCCCUGUAGUAUUCUUGUGUAGAAGUUAGAAAAAUAAACAUUUGAAGGUUGCUUAUUACAUUUGAAAGAA